GGGUUGUGAGGUUAAGCGACUAAGCGUACACGGUGGAUGCCUAGGCAGUCAGAGGCGAUGAAGGGCGUGCUAAUCUGCGAAAAGCGUCGGUAAGCUGAUAUGAAGCGUUAUAACCGACGAUACCCGAAUGGGGAAACCCAGUGCAAUACGUUGCACUAUCGUUAGAUGAAUACAUAGUCUAACGAGGCGAACCGGGGGAACUGAAACAUCUAAGUACCCCGAGGAAAAGAAAUCAACCGAGAUUCCCCCAGUAGCGGCGAGCGAACGGGGAGGAGCCCAGAGUCUGAAUCAGUUUGUGUGUUAGUGGAAGCGUCUGGAAAGUCGCACGGUACAGGGUGAUAGUCCCGUACACCAAAAUGCACAGGCUGUGAACUCGAUGAGUAGGGCGGGACACGUGACAUCCUGUCUGAAUAUGGGGGGACCAUCCUCCAAGGCUAAAUACUCCUGACUGACCGAUAGUGAACCAGUACCGUGAGGGAAAGGCGAAAAGAACCCCGGCGAGGGGAGUGAAAUAGAACCUGAAACCGUGUACGUACAAGCAGUGGGAGCACCUUCGUGGUGUGACUGCGUACCUUUUGUAUAAUGGGUCAGCGACUUAUAUUUUGUAGCAAGGUUAACCGAAUAGGGGAGCCGUAGGGAAACCGAGUCUUAACUGGGCGUCUAGUUGCAAGGUAUAGACCCGAAACCCGGUGAUCUAGCCAUGGGCAGGUUGAAGGUUGGGUAACACUAACUGGAGGACCGAACCGACUAAUGUUGAAAAAUUAGCGGAUGACUUGUGGCUGGGGGUGAAAGGCCAAUCAAACCGGGAGAUAGCUGGUUCUCCCCGAAAGCUAUUUAGGUAGCGCCUCGUGAACUCAUCUUCGGGGGUAGAGCACUGUUUCGGCUAGGGGGCCAUCCCGGCUUACCAAACCGAUGCAAACUCCGAAUACCGAAGAAUGUUAUCACGGGAGACACACGGCGGGUGCUAACGUCCGUCGUGAAGAGGGAAACAACCCAGACCGCCAGCUAAGGUCCCAAAGUCAUGGUUAAGUGGGAAACGAUGUGGGAAGGCACAGACAGCCAGGAUGUUGGCUUAGAAGCAGCCAUCAUUUAAAGAAAGCGUAAUAGCUCACUGG
rnacentral:rRNA from 1 species